CUCCAAGCCAGACAUUUAAAAAUGGGCACCUACUUUGAGGCCACUGGGAGCAACAUCAAAGGGGGUGGUAACAGCAUGUUGCUCGCGAACUACUGUUGGGGAUGAGUGGGCUAUGGAUGUAGAAAGAAUUAAUUGCCAAUAUGGAGAAAUAGAAAUAGAGGGUAAUGGUCCCAGCAGUGUUGUCUUUAGGUCUGGUGCCACCCUAGGCCCCCCAACUUGCAGAAGUGACAUCUCAGAAUAGGUCAACGUUUCAGUCUCAUUCUAAGACCUUUCUCAAGACCACUUAUAUAUAAGUACUUUUCCUAGACAGUGGGGAUUUAAGCUCAUUAGUAAGGUUAAGGUAAGUCAGACCAUGAGGGGCAUAGGGCUCACCAAAAUGGGACCUCCCCAUUUCAAAAUUUCCAGUGUGCUCCAAAAUUGGUUACAUUCGCUGGUGUCAUAACUUGUGAGCAGAGCACAGAUAAGUGGGAAUGCUGGUUGGAAGCCAAAGCUGGGAGCUCAGAUGCAUAUGUAUGUAACUUUUUCCAAUUGUUAUUGGAAUGCUCUCCUGAGUCCAUCAUUUCACUUACCCUCUGCAGAUGAUUAGCACUGAAUGUCGCCUCAAAUGUGACACCUUCCUUUGGAUUAAAGGGCAACUAACCAGUAUGAUUAUCCCGCAGAAUGGUUCUUCGAUCAGGCUCUUUAUACACACUCACAGCUCUGUCACUGCUGUUCAGCGGCGGGAUGAAGAGAUAGACGCAACACAGGAGGAUAAGGAAAAGUUUCAGAAUAAGAGGGGGCACAGUGAUGAAAUCUGAGUUGUGCAGGAAAGAUAAAUGAAAGAUGUGUUCAGAAAUAACAGGUGUUGUCGGCCCCCUAUAAGAUCUUAAUCAUUAAGGAUCUUGCUACUAUACAGGCAUGUAACAAAGCAAAGGAAUGUGGAGUGGGCCCUCCUGUGAAAUAUCUGUCACCUGGGAAGAAAAGGGUUAAGAGUCUGGGACCUGCUGUAAAUAAAUGCUGGUAGCCAAGCUCUCGUGUUUAAGGGUAACCCUCAGUCUGAGCCAAUUACAUGUGCCCCGAGCUGUGUUUAAUGGGGCAGCAGUGAGGUCCAGUGACAGUGACGCUGAUGUGCAAUGACAGUGUCCUAUGGCUGUCCCCAGGGUUAUGUGAACUCCUCUGCCUUCCUUAUUUACUCAUCUGCAUGGGCUGGCAGCGAUGCCCACUGGUGCGAGGCUCUGCCUCAUCUUCCUACCCAAGCGCAGACCUUCUUACAGGCUGUGCAAGGGAAGCUCGAUGGCGUGCAGUAAGGAGAGGAGAUCUGAAUUGAAAUUCUAUUAGAUACAUUAAAUAAAGUAGGGUAACCAUAGUAAGUUAUUAUGUAUGUGCUGAAGGUCCCUUUUAAUGGUUUUCUAAUGAGCAAGAUGGGCCUUCCCAUGUAGGAAUAAAGAUGUAAGGUCCGUGUAAGACUCGUCAUGUGCUAGAAUAACAUGGUUUAGUAGUGGGUGAGGACUUGAUGAGCAGUCAUAGCUAAGAUAGCUUCAACAUAGAAGAAUUGCUUUCUAAAUUAUUCUCAAUGCAGAAGAACCAUCUUGUAUCAAGACAACUGAAAUGUGCAUCAUCAGUUAGGGCGGCCAUACACAUACUUAUAAAAUGCUGGGAAGACAGUCCCAACCAGUAUCUCCGUGCCAUGUGUGUGGGUUGGCUUGUUGUUCAGACAUGUUGGAGAAUGUGGUCUGCCGAUGCACCAUAUCUGCCAGUGCACGGUGUGUUGGGAAAUUAGCAGAUGGAGGGGUCACAACUGUUUGAUGAACAACCUUAACAAUAAAAAUAUGGGCCUAAAAUUAAUGGACACUUGUAUGGUAUCUGUCUGUUUAGCCAUGGGCUUAUUGGUCAGAUAAUCAGGUCACAUUAUCAGGCAGUGUAUGGCUACCUUAAAGUAACAGUAACACCAAAGAAUG